UCUCUGCAAAUACAUUUUUGCCAAUUCUCAGUAAUGUAAUCUGGGUGAAAUGCAGCUUUUGGAUCCAUAAGAUGGGCAAAAAGAGUAAAUCAAAAACUCCCAGAGAGAUGUAAGAUAAUACAGCUGGUGUAGAGGAGGAAAAACCCUCAUCUUCGGCCAAGAAAUUACUGAAUCAUUGGUUGAGCUUCAGUUCAGGAACACUUGGGAGAGCAAUGAGGGUGAUCCUGUGCUACUUGUUUACAUUCCAUUUACAUCAGAUGGCAAGAUCAAUAGCAUUUCAAUUAUUGGUGGUGCUGAUGGAACAAGUCCUUCCAAGAUGAGGGCUUGUGGUAGUUUUGAAGACCUUUACAACAGCUGAAACUAUGUUGAAUGCUCGAACCCUUAGGGAAUGGAUUUCAUCUUCUCUCGGGUUAGCGCAGUGCCAACACUUCUUCACGUAUAUGAACAGGUUGUUUCAGUUCAGGAUUUGCUUAAUAAUCUUUGGGUUAAUUUAAACAAACGUGAAUGAGCUUGGGAGUGGGUGGAAUGAAUCAUAUUUGGAAUAGCUUAGUAAUUUUAUUAUUGAAUAAUUUAGUAAUCAAGAUGGUAUGAUGGAGUGAAGGGUUAUUAUGUCUUUGUACUUAAUCAUUGAUUUUGUCAGAUAAAAUGUAAGUUUCGAAGAUCCGCCUGCGUCUCUCUCUUUCUCAUGAUUGAGCGUGACAAUUUCAGGCCUUAUGUAGUUGCAAAGCAUAUGGUAGUAGU